UACGUAGGGUGCAAGCGUUAAUCGGAAUUACUGGGCGUAAAGCGUGCGCAGGCGGUGAUGUAAGUCAGAUGUGAAAUCCCCGGGCUCAACCUGGGAACUGCAUUUGAGACUGCAUCGCUGGAGUACGGCAGAGGGGGAUGGAAUUCCGCGUGUAGCAGUGAAAUGCGUAGAUAUGCGGAGGAACACCGAUGGCGAAGGCAAUCCCCUGGGCCUGUACUGACGCUCAUGCACGAAAGCGUGGGGAGCAAACAGG
rnacentral:rRNA from 1 species